CACCGAUGAUAUUUCACUGAACACGCUCGUUCUUAGAUUAGAAAAUUCCUGGAGUCGUCGCAUAUCCAGCAUAAGGAGGUGAAACUAUCCAGAGGAGAAAACAAACUUACAAAAUACUUUAAAUUUAACCAAGUAGCAUCUUAGCCAUGAGGAAUUUACACAUUGUGGUGCUGAGAGAGAACACCUGCUCCUGGAUAUCAGCAUCUGUUCCAUAUUGCCCUGUGUGAAUUUCUGCACUUUCUGGUCCUUGGAUGAGGUCAG
rnacentral:lncRNA from 1 species